rnacentral:rRNA from 1 species
CGCCCUAGCCUCCCUCGCACGAAAAAAAACCCUCCUCUCGAUCCACCCCUGGCGCUGCCCUCAUCUCUCGCUCCGCCCGCCGCCGCCGCCCCUGCUUCCCUCCCGCUCGACCACCUCCACCGCUCCCACCCUUCUCUCCAUUGUCGGAUCCGCUUGCUCGUCAAGGUUAGGCGGCGAAAAGGUCUUGAUAUAUGCCUUGGCCACAGGUCUGCAGGUGCCCACAGAAUACAAUCCAUCGCCACCCAUGACUCCCUCACCCUGCUAGGGUUCCUAGCCCCGUCCUCCGCCGCCGCUGCGUGUUCCCGUCCGACCUCGCCCGAGCGAUUUCUUGACCUCGCCGGGAGCAGGCAGCUGGAUCCCGCCGCCGUGCCUCCCUCUCUCCCUUCUCUUCUUUUCCCCUACCUCUCUCUCUCCUCUGAACUGAGCGUCGUUCCUCUCUGCAGGUGCCGCCAUGGCCGCGUCUUGGAGCUCGCCGCCGUGGGCUGCGUGCCCCUCCGAUGACGGCCUUCCUCGCCCACGUCCAGGUCCCCUGGCCGGCCAUCUUCCAUUUUCUCUAUUCCCGCCCCAUGCCCCUCCCCAAAGAUCCCUCCCUCUCAUGGGCGUCACCACCAUCACUGCACCCAGCCUCCCUCAUCGUGGUGCAGUCAGUUCCGUUCCGUGGCCUCUAUCGUGUCUUCGAAGAAGGUCGUGAUACGCCACAAGUGGGAGCGGAAGCUGCGAUGUCAAGAUCUACAAGCAGGACAUGAACCACCUUGCCAUGUAUUUCCUCGUCACAUUAGGAUUCGUCGACGCCGCCAACAGGUUCUGUAUCAAUUCCGGCACCCAACGUACUGUAUGCCCACACAUUUAAAUCAUGCCGGUCUUACUCCUGCAAUACUCCUCGAAUAGUACUUGAGAUUUAGGCAGCGGUGGGCAUGCGCUGCAGGUCAUUCACCUGGUUGGCCUCUUUGAUGUAUCUGGUGUUGUUGUGUCAAUGUGGAAGGAGAGCCCGCUUCUCCGGGACGCUGGCGCUGACAUGCUCACUGUAGGCACCGUCAUGGCGGUGCUCGACUUAAGGGAGGAGGUCGGCAACCACCACUUCUUGAACCAAAGUUUGCAGAAGCUAUGGAAGAAAUGGUAACUUGCUUACUUGGGAAAACUGCAUUGGAUAGCGAUGAUGGUGACAGUGAUGAAUCUAAAUAGUGUGACGGUCUGAGUACUCGUGGGCGUGACGAGGUGAUUGCGGAUCCACCAGAACAUGCGAGUGGCAAUGCUUCAGGACAAGCAGGAAAUGGUUCAAGCAUACUUAUCCAAAUCUUAUAAUCCUGAUGGGAGAAAACAUUGUGAAGCAGUUCAGGCUGAAUGGCCAGUUAACAAGAAUCGGGUGGAUCUGCGUGUGGUGGAUGAUCGUUUACAAGGAAGGUUGAAUGUAUGGUUCCUGGAGAUGAUCAGAUGGUGCCACGUAUUUGACCUGCGAUUUGUGCCUCCAAUAGUUCCAAUGAAUGCUCCAUAGAGAAUGUAAGGAAGUAGGAAUCAGCAGGCGUCUCUGAGUUGUUUCAGUUACCAUAUUUGCUUGCAAGGUGUGAGGGUGAAGCCAACUCUAAAAGUGGGGUCUGUUCAAGUAGAAGGAACAUGCCAAGAUGAAAGAAGACGGAGCAAAAAAACCUAUAGAGGCAUGAACGCAACACUAUCUAAAACGUCUCACACUUCUGUCUAGGAAUAUAAUGGAAUCUGGGAAGAAAGAAAGAGGAAGAGUUCGCACCCACCUUCUCUCAGAGCCGCCGCUUUGAGUUCGUGUCGGCCCUACUGCAGUCGGCAGUUGUCAAGGUCGACCUGCGUGCCGCAGGGGAGCAUCACUGCCCUACACGCCGAGGGGCGCCAUGCGCUGGCUCCCACGUGCGGUUUGACCAACAAGUCGAGAUUGCGCGUGCGGAGGUAGAGGGCAAGGAAGGGGAAUCCGGCGUGCCCGCCCUGCACAACAUCAGGCCACAUGGAAGCUCCCGAGCACGAAAACGAACGCUCACUACUCUCUCCUUCUUGAAUUGCCGGCAUCGCUUUAGAUGGGUGAAGAGAGCUGAGCAUUUCUGGUGAAGCUGGAGGAGGAUGGAAGAAUAAUAGUCAUUUUGGAGCUAGCUACGACCUCCUCUGGAUGUUUCAUAGGGUUCCGCACAAUGUGUUCUCCUGUAAUUUGGUCACCAAGGCUGCUGAAAUGAUUUGGCAUCUGAACUUUGUCAAGUCCUUAUUAGAAGACGCAGAUUGCAGAUCAUUCUAUCCCUGUAAGACCAAGAUUUUGAUGCUCCUGUUACCUGGCAUCGAGGAAGAAGGUAUCCCCCUUAUACGAAGAUUUCUAGCUUGCCUAUGUGUUGUAAUGUUAAUAAGUGCAUUCGGCCAAACAAUUUGCGGACCAAAUGAACUUGCUGUGGAUAUAGAAGAAUAAGGCGGCACACAAGGAGUUGCCUGAAUUGCAGUGGCAGUGGUGUUGUAAUAUGCCUCUAUUCCAACACACACAUUCCAGUUGCCAUUGGUGAGCAAAUGAGAUAUGAAGUUACCAGCGAUUUUCAUUAUACGUGGUAAAAAUAAUGCAAAUCAUGCUUUAUGGAGAGUUGAAACACUGACUAUUGAUCGGAGAAAAUUUAGUGGUGACAACUACCCAAGAACAUUGAGAAUGGCGCCAGAAAUUCCUUUUGCUGAUAUCACAAAUUUUGUGCCAUGGUCCAUAAAGAGAACAAGUGCUGGUGUGUGUUCCGAUCCAGUAAAUUUUCUUCAUGUGCCACACAAGUGGAGACGACUCUACUUUUUUACCAUGAUCUUGAGAGUUAUGAACUUUAUGACAAUAAUGACUCUCAAGUUCAACAAGAGCUCGUACAAAAGAUAUGGAAAGUGUUUAAGACUAUACUAGAAGAGACUGGCAAAUUAAGGGAAGAAACCAAGGAAGGCAUUUCUAUAGCUAAGUCCAUUGUAAUCAUUUUGGAUUGAAAUUCAAGUUUGGCAAAAGGUCUUGAUAUAUGCCUUGGUCACAGGUCUAAAUGUUAUAAGCAUGGCUCCCCACAUCCAAUUUUUCAGGCCAUGGAGCUUCUAUGGUUGGUUCAUAUGUGGUUAUCGAAGCAGGAUAAGUUCUUGAGGAGGACUCUAAUUGCUAUGGACCACAAGAUUUCAUAUGUCGCUCCCUAUUGCGUAUUGCUGUUGACAUUGGACUUGCUAUCCAGUAAGAGGGACAUUGGGAUCAUUGUUCAUCUAGAGAAGUCAGUGCUAUAUCUACGUCAGAAUAUUGGGAUGUUAAUGAUUGGAGAUGGAUUGACAAGUACCAAAUAUUGAUGCCAAGCAGAACUAAAACCUGUUCAUUGAUUACCUUCAGUCCCGCAUUCCAAUCAACAACAUUGGGCCGAGAGAGCGCGCGGGUGGCGCAAGAGGCAAUGGGCAGCCAGUGCGCGAGUGUGUUAGCAGUGGGUAUAUCUGAAGAUUAUUUCUCAACUCAGCAUGUGGGUAGAGACUAAAAAGACGAUGCCAUGGUAGCAUGGCAGACCUGGCAAGUGCCACGAACAUCAUGAUAUUCUUCCUUUUCUUAAUUCCUUGAUUUGAAAAAUAAUUUGCUCUGCGUGUGUAGGAACAUAGCAGUCGGGCAAACGACACUUUCACAUCUUGAUCUAUAAGGGAAAUAAUUUCUUUACUUUAGAAAAUGUGGGUUCGGAUUGGUCUGUUGAGUUAUGGCUAGCUGAUUGGAAUAAUUUUUCUAUUUAAAAAUGUAGCAAAUAGCAUUUCAUUAGAGAUUGGUCUGUUGAGUUAUGGCUGGCUGAUCGGAAUAAUUUUCCUAUUUAAAAAAUGUAGCAAAUAGCAUUUCAUUAGAGAUGGCUUUGCAGCAAAUUACAAAUCGCGCAAACCAAGCCAUCGCCGCCUCAUUGCUCUCGCAGGGAGCGACAACAACCGCCGGUCUCUUCUUCGCCUUCUUAGCCGGCAUCUCCCCCAUCCGGAUGCCCUGCGGCACGAGCCACUCCGCCACCGCCUGGGACUCGACCUCCGGGAAGUUUAGGUCCGUCUUCGGCCGUCCGGCACGCCACACCGCCACGUCGUAAGCAUGCGCGGCCUCAUCGGCGGUGGGAUACGUGCCGAGCCACGAACGCUG